rnacentral:rRNA from 1 species
GAAUAUUGGACAAUGGGCGCAAGCCUGAUCCAGCCAUACCGCGUGGGUGAAGAAGGCCUUCGGGUUGUAAAGCCCUUUUGUUGGGAAAGAAAAGCCAUGGGUUAAUACCCUGUGGUUCUGACGGUACCCAAAGAAUAAGCACCGGCUAACUUCGUGCCAGCAGCCGCGGUAAUACGAAGGGUGCAAGCGUUACUCGGAAUUACUGGGCGUAAAGCGUGCGUAGGUGGUUGUUUAAGUCUGUCGUGAAAGCCCUGGGCUCAACCUGGGAAUUGCGAUGGAAACUGGGCGACUAGAGUGUGGCAGAGGGUAGUGGAAUUCCUGGUGUAGCAGUGAAAUGCGUAGAGAUCAGGAGGAACAUCCGUGGCGAAGGCGACUGCCUGGGCCAACACUGACACUGAGGCACGAAAGCGUGGGGAGCAAACAG